GUGCCAGCCACCGCGGUUAUACGAGAGGCCCAAGUUGAAAGACACCGGCGUAAAGCGUGGUUAAGCUAAAAUUUAAAUUAAAGUUAAACAUCUUCAAGACUGUUAUACGUACCCGAAGACAGGAACCUCAAUUACGAAAGUAACUUUAUACAAGCUGAACCCACGAAAGCUAUGGCACAAACUGGGA
rnacentral:rRNA from 1 species